rnacentral:rRNA from 1 species
AGUUUAGGCAAAUCCGGACUUCCUUAACACUGAGAGAUGAUGACGAGGCUCUACGGAGCUGAAGUAACCGAUACCACACUUCCAGGAAAAGCCACUAAGCGAAAGGCUUUACUAAACCGUACUGAAAACCGACACAGGUGGUCAGGUAGAGAAUACUCAGGCGCUUGAGAGAACUCGGGUGAAGGAACUAGGCAAAAUAGCACCGUAACUUCGGGAGAAGGUGCGCCGGCGUAGAUUGUA